rnacentral:hammerhead_ribozyme from 1 species
GCACUGCUGAGGAGUCCCACAAUAGGACGAAACAACCUUCCAGUGC